CCCGACAUAUGAAAAUAUUAAGGGUAAAUUCGUAAUUUUAAAGGUUUGAAUGACCUCUCCCUUCUAACCUGAUUCCAGAUUUCUUCAUCUCUCUUCCUACUAUUUUCUCUCUCCUCCUGCAAUUCCUUUGGGCUUUUCUCAUCUUCCCUCGAGUUCACCGCGUCCUUCGCAUCCCAACCUUUGAAUCUUCUCCUUUAUUUAAUUUUCGUCAAUCUGUUGCUGAAUGUCAAGGACAACAACAAACCAUAACACCAACAGAAGCAAUCAAAGCACAUGAUAGAAACAGCAGCUUAGUAAGCAAAUCUGGUUGCAACUUCAGCUGAUUGACUGUAGUACCAAGUCAAUAUGAGUCAACUUGUGCAAUUGCAAGUUGCCAGAACAGUGCGAGAUACUUUUAUUUACUUUUGAAUUUUUUUGUAUUUUACUUUACUUUUAUUUUAUUCUUUUUACAAAACUUUACAUAGAAAUUAUAAAUGGUUAUCCACCAUUCUAGAUUUAAAUACUAUGACCUAUGUAGGAUUUGAACCUACAUCCAUAUGCAAUUGCACAUUGCUCUACCAUUUGAGCUAAUAGGUUUUCACAAAAUAUUUAAGAGAAAUGUAUAUUUGAAAGUUUCAUUAUUAUUUAGUUCACUUUUAGAGAUA